UAGACUCUGAAGUGUUCGCCAGUGGAUGUUAUUCCCUGAGCCGAUAAUGCACUAAAUGGAUGUGCUAUCUAUUGUCUUAUUGUGUAUGCCUGCACUGCUUGCAGUGACUCAGGAAACCUUAAGAGGCAAUGACGCAUCCGCCCUGAACUUCACGGUUCAUGGGUCCCCAUCUUACAGCGGCACUUCGGUCCUCA
rfam:Psychrobacter sp. PRwf-1, complete genome.